ensembl:lncRNA
CACCCAGAGUCAGUUCCAUUCAUCCCGGGGGCUGAACCAAAAAGCCAGACGCCAGAGAAGAGAAAGAAGGAGUGGGCUCCUAGUCAGACUCAGGAGGCAUGCAUACCAUCCACCUCUUCUGAGUAAAGUACUCUCUAACAUUCAGUCCCUGGUGUCACGCCCUGAUCUGUUUCAUCUGUCCUUGUGCUUGUCUCCCCACCACUCCCUCCAGGCGUCGCCCAUCUUCUCCACGUAUCCCCUGGGUAUUUAUACCUGUGUUUUCUGUCUGUCUGUGUCAGUUUGGCUUGUUUGUUCAACUCAACCAGCGUUUUGUCUCAGCUCCUCCUUUUCCUCAGUCUGUCUUUUUUCUCGUCCUCCUGGUUUUGACCAUUGCCUGUCUUGACUCUGAGGCUGCCAACCAUCCUGUGCCUUUGCCCUUACUCUGGAUUAAUAUGUUUUGCUUUUUACAGAUACAAUAGUCAUUUACAUCAUUAACAAUGUCUACACUGUAUUUCUAAUCAAUUUAAUGUUAUUUAAUGGACAAAAAAUGUGCUUUUCUUUAAAAAACAUGAACAUUUCUAAGUGACCCCAAACUUUUGAACGGUAGUGUAUGUAUAUAUUCGGGCGGCAGGUAGCCUAGUGGUUAGAGUUUUGAGCCAGUAACCAAAAGAUUGCUAGAUCGAAUCCCCGAGCUGACAAGGUAAAAAUCUGUCAUUCUGCCCCUGAACAAGGCAGUUAACCCACUGUUGCUAGGCCGUCAUUAUAUAUAAGAAUUUGUUCUUAACUAACUUGCCUAGUUAAAUAAAGGUUCAAUAAAAAAAAAAAAAAAAAUAAAAAAAUAUAUAUAUAUAUAUAUGUAUAUAUAUACAUAUAUAUAUAUAUACACACUAUAUGGCCAAAAGUAUGUGGCGACACCUUGAAAUUAGUGUAUUCGGCUAUUUCAGCCACACCCGUUGCUGACAGGUGUAUACAAUCGAGCAGACAGCCAUGCAAUCUCCAUAGACAAACAUUGGCACUAGAAUGGCCCGUACUAAAGAGCUCAGUGACUUUCAACCAGGCUCCGUCAAAAGAUAUCACCUUUCCAACAAGUCAGUUCGUCAAAUUUAUGCCAUGUUAGAGCUGCCCCGGUCAACUGUAAGUGCUCUGCCUCUAGAAGCAACGUCAGCACAAUAACU